rnacentral:rRNA from 1 species
UGGGGAAUUUUGGACAAUGGGCGAAAGCCUGAUCCAGCAAUGCCGCGUGUGUGAAGAAGGCCUUCGGGUUGUAAAGCACUUUUGUCCGGAAAGAAAUCCUUGGCUCUAAUACAGUCGGGGGAUGACGGUACCGGAAGAAUAAGCACCGGCUAACUACGUGCCAGCAGCCGCGGUAAUACGUAGGGUGCAAGCGUUAAUCGGAAUUACUGGGCGUAAAGCGUGCGCAGGCGGUUUGCUAAGACCGAUGUGAAAUCCCCGGGCUCAACCUGGGAACUGCAUUGGUGACUGGCAGGCUAGAGUAUGGCAGAGGGGGGUAGAAUUCCACGUGUAGCAGUGAAAUGCGUAGAGAUGUGGAGGAAUACCGAUGGCGAAGGCAGCCCCCCUGGGCCAAUACUGACGCUCAUGCACGAAAGCGUGGGGAGCAAACAGGAUUAGAUACCCUGGGUAGUCCACGCCCUAAACGAUGUCACUAGUUGUUGGGGAUUCAUUUCCUUAGUAACGUAGCUAACGCGUGAAGUUGACCGCCU